rnacentral:rRNA from 1 species
UGACCGUGCGAAGGUAGCAUAAUCAUUAGUCUUUUAAUUGAAGGCUUGUAUGAAUGGUUGGACGAGAAGUAAUCUGUCUCUAUUAAAAAAAUUGAAUUUAACUUUUGAGUGAGAAGGCUUAAAUAAUCUAGAGGGACGAUAAGACCCUAUAAAGUUUAACAUUAUAAUAAUAAAAAGUUGAUUGGGUUGAAGAACUUAUUAUUAUGAAUAGUGUUUUGUUGGGGCGACAAGAAUAUAAAUAAUUUAACUGUUCUUUUUUGUAUCAAAAAUAUUUGGAUUAAUGAUCUUUUUAAGAGUAUUAGAGUAAAUUACUUUAGGGAUAACAGCGUAAUUUUUUUUGAGAGUUCUUAUCGACAAAAGAGUUUGCGACCUCGAUGUUGAAUUAAAGAUUCUUUAUAGUGCAGAAGCUAUAUGAGAAGGUCUGUUCGACCUUUAAAUCUUUACAUGAUUUGAGUUCAGACCGGUGUGAGCCAGGUGGUUUCUAUCUA